GCCUCGGUGGCACACUCCCCCUCCAAUGGAAAAUCCUCCAGCUUGUCACGUGACCUUUUUUUGGGGGGGCUCUUUGGCCACUGUCAACUUUUUUUCACUCACGUCCUGUUCAGCGGAAACAUAAAGGAGUGCGGCGUCGGUGCGACUGUUGGGGGGGAUGCCGCAGCGUUGCUCUUGCAGGAGGGGAAAACGUCCCACUCACUGAUGUACCCACUGGUUCGCAGGGUCUGACGCAAGACAGAGAAGUCUCAAAGAGGUCUGAUGGAAUCUGAACCUCACUGGAAAGAAAGAACAACCCGCAGUCUGCCGCCCCACUGCUGAGUCCUUUUAGAAGGGGGACAUGGACGCCGUGGAGAGCCCCGCGGGCCUGGAGCCCAGGUCGGAGCGGAUCGCCCGCUACAAGGCCGAGAGGAGGCGCGAGCUGGCCGAGCGUUACGGCAACACGGAGGAGCUGCCCUCCAAGUGGGUGAGGAGGGACGGGAGUGGGGAGGCGCCCGACCCGGGGGCCCACAGGGGGACGGCGAACUCGGACGGGCCGGGGGUCAACGGCAGGACGCGGGGGGUUUCGAACGGAUUGGAGGCGGAGUCCAACAACCUGGGAAGGCAGGGUUCCCAGGACUCUGCCAGCACGCUGAGCGGGGAGGGGCACCUCCUCCCUGGCGGACUCGACGUCCCGCAGGUCCACACUCGGGUGUCGGUAGGCCAGUUGAGAAGUGCCCUCCUGCAGCAGACGGGGAGCGGCGGCGGCGGCGGCGAGCAGCCCGAGAAAGCCUGCCCCGAUGGCGGGCGGGCCACGUCCUCUCUGGACCUGGCCGUGAACCCGGGCCCUGAGGGGGGGCGGCGACGCACCCGCCGCUACCUCCCCGGCGGGCCCGGUGUCGGGCGCAAGACCAGCGAGCGCUUCAGGACGCAGCCGAUCACAGCCAAUGAGAUGGAGGAGAGCAGCGGGUAUGGGAGGGAGGGGGGGGUCUGUUUGCUGUGGGCUGCAGAUGAGGGCGCCUGGUUUUUUGUUUAACUAAGAAUGAUGCUGUUUGCUGUGACUUUUUUAUUGCAGUGUGUGUGAAAAAAUAAGCAUCAUCUGGAAAACCAAACAAAUUAUGCUCAUGUCAUAACUUAUUACUUGCGAGUCUCUGGUCUAUCGGGGAGCACAAGUGUUUGUUGUCUGUGGUUUCGACUUUACAUAAAGGUGCGGGCGACAUUUGCAUGUUUUUUUGUUUCUUUUCCUCCUUCAUGACAUUCCACACUGUUGCUUUACCCAGAAUGCAAAUGUGCAAACAGCGUCUUGAUUGUUUGAGACGUGCAUUGUUGAGCUCAGAGCAGAAUCUGACAGAAGAGUUCUUCAGCAACUCCCGCUUCAUAUUUCACCAGGUGACCUCAUCCUCUGCCUUUUUUUCUUCUUCUCCAUCUUCUAGGCUGUUGGACGCCGACCAGCAGGAGGAGGAGGAGGAGGAGGAGGAGGAGAAGCGUAAAGGUAAAGCCGCCUAUUGUGUUUUAGGCACAAACAAGCUCUUUGUCAGACUUUUUGUUUUGCUGGUGCACACAGGCCUGGUGACCUUUGACACGGAGAGGGCAGAAGGUCACCGCAGCACAAUAGGUCAAGACAGCGAUGUAAACACUGUGAGAAAAAAUAUGGCAGGAGGAGAAAAGUGACAUCUCAUACUGAAUGUGACGUAUAAAGGCUUCACAUAUUGUGAACAAAACAAUAUUUGGAGUGUGCGUCCGACCUGCACAGUUGCCUCGAUAAACUCAUUCAACAGCUCACGAAGUAGAUCAGAUUGUAUCUUGAGGUCCACAAUGUUUGAUCUCGUCGGUGAUGACGGAUUUACGUCUCCACGAAGCCGUGUGAGCAGCGGAGCACGGCUUAGUCCUUUGCUCUCUUAACACCUCCAUGAAAAAAAAUCUUCACAAAGAUUGACUACGGAGAAUUUGCUCCACAGGCGCAGUACGCACAAACAUUAUGCAUUUGUAAAUCAGUUCUAUAUUGCUACUGGGAAUUAACGAUUAAAGAAUGUGUCCCAGUGAGUCGACGUGAAAAAGCAUGACGUCCUAAAAUAAUAUCCAUGCAUCUCAUUGUUAUUUGUGACGUGUGCAUGAUUAGAAGACCUCUUCAGACACGACAAGGGACCAGAGUUGACAUUCCUUUUUUUUUAAUAGGUGGUCAGAAUGGGAAAAAUAGAUAUUUUUUAGUGUGAAUCCUUAUUUGAAAACAAACUAGCAGUACAGUAGCUCUCAGAUAGAUGUAGUGGCAUAUAGAAGUGUGAAAUAGCAGAAAAUGGAAAGUGUGAUUACGUCCAAAUUGCACUGGAGUUCAGACCUUGAGUUAAUGUACUUAGUGACUUUCCACCGUUGACGACAGUCACCAGAAGCUUGUUCGAUUUCACAGACUGUUUAAUCUCCUGCACCUUUCUUUACUUCUAUCCGACAGCGCCUGAGGUGUCAGAGCAAUAUCAUGUGUGUUCAGCGAUCCGAAGCGUGCGACAUGAGGAUUUACGUCCUUUCUCUCUCCCGCAGCUGACGUGA
rnacentral:lncRNA from 1 species